CCCUUAGAUGUUCUGGGCCGCACGCGUGCUACACUGAACGGUUCAAUGGGUAAGGUAGUGCGAAAGCAUGACCUAAUCUCGAAAUCCGUUCGUGCUGGGGAUAGAAGCUUGCAAUUAUCCUUCUUGAACGAGGAAUACCUUGUAAGCGUGAGCCAUCAUCUCACGCUGAAUACGUCCCUGCCCUUUGUACACACCGCCCGUCGCUCCUACCGAUUGAGUGUUCCGGUGAGGCUUUGGGAGAAUGGCCUCAACAUGAGUUUAUCGUGUUUUGCCGUUUGAACUUAGUCAAACCUUAUCACUUAGAGGAAGGAGAAGUCGUAACA
rnacentral:rRNA from 1 species